rnacentral:rRNA from 1 species
AGUGAACGCUGGCGGUAGGCCUAACACAUGCAAGUCGAACGGCAGCACAGUAAGAGCUUGCUCUUACGGGUGGCGAGUGGCGGACGGGUGAGGAAUACAUCGGAAUCUACUUUUUCGUGGGGGAUAACGUAGGGAAACUUACGCUAAUACCGCAUACGACCUACGGGUGAAAGCAGGGGAUCUUCGGACCUUGCGCGACUGAAUGAGCCGAUGUCGGAUUAGCUAGUUGGCGGGGUAAAGGCCCACCAAGGCGACGAUCCGUAGCCGGUCUGAGAGGAUGAUCAGCCACACUGGAACUGAGACACGGUCCAGACUCCUACGGGAGGCAGCAGUGGGGAAUAUUGGACAAUGGGCGCAAGCCUGAUCCAGCAAUGCCGCGUGGGUGAAGAAGGCCUUCGGGUUGUAAAGCCCUUUUGUUAGGAAAGAAAAGCAGCAGGUUAAUACCCCGCUGUUCUGACGGUACCCAAAGAAUAAGCACCGGCUAACUUCGUG